CUGGUUAGUUUGCAUCUCUAUGGGAUGGGAUCAAAUCCUAUCAAUCAUUGACUCGUAUUGCUUUGUUUGUAUACGCAUUAUGUGUACUUAUUUAUCUAUGCAUUAUUGUUUGCAUGUGGAGUAUAGAUUCUCUCACGAAUUGAUAAGAAGAUAUUUUGAAAUAAUACCUCGUUAGGUUUACUGUCAUUUUCUAGAGUAAAAGUACGUAAAUUACAUUUCACUCACAGAAAAUUACGGUGGUUUACAUGACUGAAAAUACUAUGACGAUCGACUUGCUGCUGUGUAGAGUUAUUUUUUUUUUCUGUUCGAAUAACAUGUACAACCUUCAGUGACGGUAUAAGACUAACGUACGUACGUUCUUGAUCUUCUUUGAAACGGAAGGUACAAAUUCUAUCUUGAUUAUCUUGUAACAGUCGGUUCCUAAGUUUCUCAAGCUCCAUUUCUGAUUUUGGAACACCGAAAGUGCUCACUAGGAAGUCACUAGAGGUCACAGAACAUCAAUUUUGAUAGGGAAAGGCUUAGUAACAAUGCAAAUCGAACUUGCAUAAACUGUAAGGAUUUGACAUAAAUGGGAGAAAGGGGCAAAAUAAUUUACUCCAUUACUAGAUGUCUAGAUUCAGAGAUAUGAAAUAUGUCUUGGACACACGCAUGUUUAUGGUAUCUUUCUUCAUGCGAGAGAGAGAGAGAGAGAGAGAGAGAGAGAGAGAGAGAGAGAGAGAGAGAGAGAGAGAGAGUAGUAGUUACGUUAGUACGUAGUACGUACGUACGUACGUACGUAGUAGUAGUAGUAACGUAACGUUAAACGUUUAAACGUUUAAACGUUUAACGUUUAACGUUUACGUUUACGUUUACGUUACGUUACGUACGUACGUACGUACGUACGUAACGUAACGUAACGUAACCGUAACGGUAACGUAACGUACGUACGUACGUACGUAACGUUACGUAACCGUUAACGUUAACGGUUAAGUUAACGUUAACGGUAAAGUAACGGUUAACGUAACGUAACGUUACGGUAACGUAACGUAACGUAACGUAACGUAACGUACGUAACGAACGUAACGUUAACGUUAACGGUACGUUAACGGAACGUAACGAACGUAACGUAACGUUACGGUAACGGACGUAACGUACGUACGUAACGUAGUAGUACACGUANAGUACGUACGUUACGUAACGUUAACGUUACGUACGUAACGUACGUACGUUAACGGGUUACUACCGUUAACCCGUAACGUUUACGGUACGUUUUACGGGUAACGUACGGGUAACGUAACGUAACGUUAAACGGUUAACGGUAAACGGUUUACGGGGUAACGUUAACGUUAACCCGGGUUAACGUAGUUUUUACGUUAACGGGGGAAAAACGUUUUUCCCCCGUAAAAACGUAAACGGUUUUACGAAACGGGGGUUUUUACGUAAGUAGUUGGGUAUAANANAGAUNUAAUGAGUANANANAGAUNANGUNAUGAGAGAGAGAGAGAGAGUGAGUGAAGUCUUUUCAUGGCGUGCUAAUAGCAUGAGGCAUAAAAAUUAAACUUCAUUUGAUGGUUUUGACCUGCACAUUGUGAACGCAGAAAGGUAUGGCAAAUGCACUUGGAACGCUUUGUGGACAAGC
rnacentral:lncRNA from 1 species